ensembl:snRNA U6 U6 spliceosomal RNA
AUGCUUAAUUCCACAGCAUAUAUACUAAAAUUAGAAUCAUACAGAGAUUAGCAUUGUCCCUACAUGAGGAUGACAUGCAAAUUUGUAAAGCAUUCCUAUAUUUC